rnacentral:sRNA from 1 species
AUUCUGCCCAUGUGGGGAAGGAUGAGAAGCUUCGACCAAGGUUCGACUCGAGCGCCAGCGAGAGAGCGUUGCCGCAGGCAACGACCCGAAGGGCGAAGCGCGCAGCGCUGAGUAAUCCUUCCCCCA